AAUUUGUUGCGGACAAAUAAAAUGAAUAUGCGCAUCAAUACCACCUGCCGUUAGAAUUUUUCCUUCACCUGCAAUAAUUUCGGUACCUGGGCCAAUAAUAAUAUCGACACUUUGCUGAGUAUCUGGGUUACCCGCUUUACCAAUGGCAGCAAUACGUCCGUCUUUAAUGCCCACAUCUGCUUUAAUAAUGCCCCAAUGAUCAACAAUUAAUGCAUUAGUGAUCACCAGAUCCAUUGAAACACUGGAGUCACACUGACUUUGACCCAUGCCAUCAC
rnacentral:sRNA from 1 species